UACGUAGGUGGCAAGCGUUGUCCGGAUUUACUGGGCGUAAAGGGCGUGCAGGCGGUUUGUUAAGUGCAGGGUGAAAGCUCCCGGCUCAACUGGGAGAGGUCCUUGCAUACUGGCGAACUCGAGGGAGGCAGAGGAAAGUGGAAUUCCCGGUGUAGUGGUGAUAUGCGUAGAUAUCGGGAGGAACACCUGUGGCGAAGGCGGCUUUCUGGGCCUUACCUGACGCUGAGGCGCGAAAGCGUGGGGAGCAAACGGG
rnacentral:rRNA from 1 species